UGGUGGAGUGAUUUGUCUGGUUAAUUCCGAUAACGAACGAGACUCUGUCCUGCUAACUAGGUUGUGUUUUCUCGGGUCGUGGUUCUGGUGUCUUUCGGGGCGCCGGCCCCGAUCCACUUGUGAACACAACACUCUUCUUAGAGGGACUGGCGGCUGUUAGCCGCACGAGAUAGAGCAAUAACA
rnacentral:rRNA from 1 species